GGAAUCUUCCACAAUGGACGCAAGUCUGAUGGAGCAACACCGCGUGAGUGAAGAAGGGUUUCGGCUCGUAAAGCUCUGUUGUUAAAGAAGAACACGUAUGAGAGUAACUGUUCAUACGUUGACGGUAUUUAACCAGAAAGUCACGGCUAACUACGUGCCAG
rnacentral:rRNA from 1 species